GUCGAACGGAAAGGCCCCUUCGGGGGUACUCGAGUGGCGAACGGGUGAGUAACACGUGGGCAAUCUGCCCUGCACUUCGGGAUAAGCCUGGGAAACUGGGUCUAAUACCGGAUAGGACCUUUAGGCGCAUGCCUUUUGGUGGAAAGCUUUUGCGGUGUGGGAUGGGCCCGCGGCCUAUCAGCUUGUUGGUGGGGUGAUGGCCUACCAAGGCGACGACGGGUAGCCGGCCUGAGAGGGUGUCCGGCCACACUGGGACUGAGAUACGGCCCAGACUCCUACGGGAGGCAGCAGUGGGGAAUAUUGCACAAUGGGCGCAAGCCUGAUGCAGCGACGCCGCGUGGGGGAUGACGGCCUUCGGGUUGUAAACCUCUUUCACCAUCGACGAAGGUCCGGGUUUUCUCGGAUUGACGGUAGGUGGAGAAGAAGCACCGGCCAACUACGUGCCAGCAGCCGCGGUAAUACGUAGGGUGCGAGCGUUGUCCGGAAUUACUGGGCGUAAAGAGCUCGUAGGUGGUUUGUCGCGUUGUUCGUGAAAUCUCACGGCUUAACUGUGAGCGUGCGGGCGAUACGGGCAGACUAGAGUACUGCAGGGGAGACUGGAAUUCCUGGUGUAGCGGUGGAAUGCGCAGAUAUCAGGAGGAACACCGGUGGCGAAGGCGGGUCUCUGGGCAGUAACUGACGCUGAGGAGCGAAAGCGUGGGGAGCGAACAGGAUUAGAUACCCUGGUAGUCCACGCCGUAAACGGUGGGUACUAGGUGUGGGUUUCCUUCCUUGGGAUCCGUGCCGUAGCUAACGCAUUAAGUACCCCGCCUGGGGAGUACGGCCGCAAGGCUAAAACUCAAAGGAAUUGACGGGGGCCCGCACAAGCGGCGGAGCAUGUGGAUUAAUUCGAUGCAACGCGAAGAACCUUACCUGGGUU
rnacentral:rRNA from 1 species